UGCGCGCAGUAGCGGCCGUUUUUAUCGAGUGUUCUAGAGCUUUGAAAAUUCUAGAAGGCACCUCCCGGAAGCCCGCCCGAUUUCUAGAACAUUCUAUCAAACUCGGAGUUAAAGUUGAUAUUUCUUGAUAAUUAACCGCGUAGUAUUUAGAAGAGGAUGCUUUUAAAAUUCGUAUCAUCGAUUUAAAAGGUGUGUUCUGUACAGAGCCGAGUAUCAUUCACACAUAAAACGUCAGUGAAACAGUUGCGAUUAUAUCUACUCGCGUAGUAGACGGAAAUGACGACGUAGCUGCACAUGUCUAGAAACAUCGCGAUUCUCGGAGCAACUUGGAAUAACGUUCAUGCGGCAAAAUUGUACGAAACUUUUUUAUCAAAAUAUGACACACGUACAUGCAAACAUACAUGAUACAGCAUGCAUGCACGUUAAAUGAAAGCCUGAUGCUGCAGCUACAGCAGUUUUUUAUAUUUUUCUAAUAUUUCUAUAACAAUUUAUUUAAUUCUCUUUUGUCAUUUACAUUUUUCGUCCAAACUGCGAUACAAUUUAUGUAUGCAGAAUAUUAUGAAAAAGAAAUUAUAAAAUGUAACUCAUAUUCUGUGUAACGGUCGUGUAAGUCAUUAUUUAUUAGAAGUAAAUCCGUUAAUUCGUGUGAAUCUAUGUGCUCAUGUCAAAUUCUAUUUAGUUCGAUAUUUACUGAACAUCGUGUUUUUAAUACAAUUCAACGAUCAUUUUGUACUUACUCGAGUGUUGUCUUUUGCAGAAUUUCUUACCCAAUGAAUUAUGGUUUUCUUGAUAAUACUUAAUUAUCCUUGUGUGUAGGGGCGAUUCAUUCUAGAACUUCCAAAAUUGUGUAUAUUUAUAUUAUCGCUUGAGAACGGAAGUUCUUUCCUUUCCUGAAAUAAAUAUAAUUGUUAUUUGAGAACAACUGAGUUUUAUUAUUUCGCAAAAUUUCCUGUUUUUAGAGCAAUUAUGCUGUUUUACAUAAUGUAAAAAGGACAUCGUAUAUAAUAUACAACAUGCAGGUGCGAUCAAUGUGGUAUAAACAGUGUUCGCACAGUCCUAUUGGCACUCUUGUUCCGUGUUUUCAUUGUUCUGAUUACAUUUCUGAUAAUUACUUUGACCCUACCUAAAGUUUUCUCAAAUAAUUAGCAAGGACGAGACAUGAAGGAUGCUAAAUUUAAGGAAAACGUUUAUUCCGUAAGACAAAACCGACAACGAUCUGUGUUGGAUGUGAAGAUACUAAUACAGGACAACCGUUGACCGUUAAGGGCUCGAGUUCGAACGCGUACGCGUAGGAACAGUAGUGACAUCUAUACUUGUCGAAAGUGAACGAUAUUGGAAGUACAAUGAUGAAUUGCAUACAUUCACAAUGUAAUAUAAUUUUUAAUUGAAUAUACCAACAGGUUCUAAGAAAAUUCAGACUGAUGUAAAGUGCAAGCUCCUGGGAGGCGAUCACCAAAGAUGAUGCUUCACGCUACACGCAUCCUUCCCGUCAGGGUCGAUCCGUGAGGAGACGGAACGUCCACGAAUUUUGUUGGGGGAAUAACUUAUCGUAUUAUUAUCGAACCAUUGAUUGUGCGAAUGAAUCUAUUAAUAGCGAGCGAGGAUAUUUUGUUUUGCUGUUGAUAGUAUUUAAAAGAGGAACAAUGAAGUGGUUUGCAUAUAAAAUUUGAUAGCCUUGUACAUAUUUAACCACUGUAUUUAAAAUAUUACAUUUUUCCUCUAAUGUUUAUUCGAAUUUUCUGUAGGAAAACUUUCUGUCCAGCGUAUAAUGAUCUACGCAGAUGCGGAAAUUGAAUUUAGUAAUGCUUUUACGUUAUUGUUUGCUUUAAGAUUCUCUUCGUUUAACAAUCUUAGUCGUAUGCAAAAAUGUCUGUCGAAUACAAUUAAUUGUGCUGAUGCCAGCCUACAAUCUCAAUAUCUGGACAGUUGCCAGCUAUUGCACUAUACAACCAUCAUCCUUGCACUUUGUUUUUAUUCUACUGCAUUUAUUUCUAUGCACAAUAUCUGAAGCUAUACGAAAGAUACGUAUAAUUUUUAAAAAUAUGAAAGUAUAAAAUUCAAACGUAGGAUUUAAUAAAUACGAAUUAUGGAAAUGGCAUAUUUUACGUAAUAAUAAAUUUGUAUACGUGUGCACGUAUUUACGAUAAUUUAGGUCGUUGCGCUAAAUCAAGAAGUUCGUACUGUAAAGAUAGUUUGCGGGCGGUACACAUGUUAUGUCUCAUGGAAUUUAAGUAUCCUCAGUAUUUAUGUUUUGUUAAGCUGACAUGAACACCUUGGUUUCUAUGUACAUUUGCUUUAUGACAUCAUAUUGGUCAGUCCAGGCUUAUAAAGCUUCCACCACGAUCAUCACCAUAAACGGGCGCAUAAAUUAUACGCGUUGCAUAUCUUAUUCCUACUCGAGAUUAAAAACGAAAGUUAUUAUUGUUGGUAAUAUAUUAUACUUGA